rnacentral:rRNA from 1 species
UACGGGGGGGGCAAGCGUUGUUCGGAAUUACUGGGCGUAAAGAGCUCGUAGGCGGCCAACUAAGUCAGACGUGAAAUCCCUCGGCUUAACCGGGGAACUGCGUCUGAUACUGGAUGGCUUGAGUGUAGGAGAGGGAUGUGGAAUUCCGGGUGUAGUGGUGAAAUGCGUAGAGAUCCGGAGGAACCCCAGAGGCGAAGGCGGCGUCCUGGCCCAUUUCUGACGUUCAGACAUGACAGCAUGGGGAGCGAACGGG